rnacentral:misc_RNA from 1 species
GCAGCUUUGUUUAACUGGUUUUGGUUUACAUCUUAUAGAUAUUAGAAGCUUUGUAUGUAAACAUUGUUGAUUCCAGAACCUGCAUCCCCAAAUUUAUUAUUCAGGAGGUUCUAGUUGUGGGGUUUGCAGAGAACAUUUAGUGGCACAUUGGAAUCCCCCCUCAAUCAAAUUAUGCAUAUUGUAUAAUGCUGUGAUUUAGAAAUUUCCUGUCGAGCAUUGGAUUAGGAUAUAUGGAUGUAGUAUGGAAUUAGCAGGGAAUAUUUAAUCUCUAAUAUCCUAAUUAAGAGAGUCUCUAUUAUUUUUGGACAAACUUGUUCUGCUCAUAGCCUUUGAAUUUUAAUGAUGAAAUAUUUCAAGCAUACUACUCAACCCUUCAAUUGCUAUAUAGACUUGAUAAUUGCACUACAUGAGGGUAAUCUUUGAUGAUAGUGGCAGUCCAGUCAGAUCAUACAUGAAAUAUGCUAGUUAAGCCAAUAAUAGGAACAGGACUAGUUAACCAUACCCUUGCUGCUGUUUUAUCAUUUGGAUCGAGCUGUCAUUUCCAGUAUUAUUAUCUAAAGUGUUCAAGUUGUUGUUGGGUUUAGGAUUCUCUUAUGAGUUUACUCUCUGAAAAUGAGGCCAAUAUAGUCAGAUCCAACUCUUGAAAUGACCUUGUUAAGCCAAUCAGAGGAAAUUUACGAGUGCACUGUGUUUAUUGGAAUUACUUAUCAUGUAAUUUAAGGCACUAUUUCCUUAAGUUGCCAUCAUUAAAGCAAUAUAUGAUGUGGACAUCUUAAGCAUCACACAUAGAAAGGGAUCUAAAAUACUUGGGAGACACGAGAAGUCAUUUUUUAUUAUCAUGUAUUGAUUUUAAAAGUUUCUUUGUUUCAUUUUAUUCUUAAGAUGAAUACAAUUACACCUGAAAUCUUUUGUUGGAUUUCACCUUGGUCUCUGGAUUUGAUUAGCUUUUCACCAUUUUUUUUUCCUAUAAUGAGGAUGGAAUCAUAUUCUUGCUACAUGUGAUCACCAACAUUAUUGGAUUUGUG